rnacentral:misc_RNA from 1 species
CAGAGACCCUGUAAACCCAGA